UACGUAGGGGGCAAGCGUUGUCCGGAUUUAUUGGGCGUAAAGAGCGUGUAGGCGGCCUGGAAGGUCAGCUGUGAAAACUCGAGGCUCAACCUCGAGACGUCGGUUGAAACCACUUGGCUAGAGUCCGGAAGAGGAGUGUGGAAUUCCCGGUGUAGCGGUGAAAUGCGUAGAUAUUGGGAGGAACACCAGUGGCGAAGGCGGCUCACUGGACCGGUUCUGACGCUGAGGCGCGAAAGCGUGGGGAGCAAACGGG
rnacentral:rRNA from 1 species